rnacentral:rRNA from 1 species
UACGUAGGGCGCGAGCGUUGUCCGGAAUUAUUGGGCGUAAAGAGCUCGUAGGCGGCCUGUCGCGUCCGCUGUGAAAACCCGGGGCUCAACCCCGGGCUUGCAGUGGAUACGGGCAGGCUAGAGGCAGGCAGGGGAGAACGGAAUUCCCGGUGUAGCGGUGAAAUGCGCAGAUAUCGGGAGGAACACCGGUGGCGAAGGCGGUUCUCUGGGCCUUACCUGACGCUGAGGAGCGAAAGCGUGGGGAGCGAACAGG